rnacentral:rRNA from 1 species
AAUAGAUACCCGGGUAGUCCACGCCGUAAACGUUGGGCGCUAGAUGUGGGGACCUUUCCACGGUUUCCGUGUCGUAGCUAACGCAUUAAGCGCCCCGCCUGGGGAGUACGGCCGCAAGGCUAAAACUCAAAGGAAUUGACGGGGGCCCGCACAAGCGGCGGAGCAUGCGGAUUAAUUCGAUGCAACGCGAAGAACCUUACCAAGGCUUGACAUAACCGAGAACACCGUAGAAAUACGGGACUCUUUGGACACUCGGUUACAGGUGGUGCAUGGUUGUCGUCAGCUCGUGUCGUGAGAUGUUGGGUUAAGUCCCGCAACGAGCGCAACCCUCGUCGCAUGUUGCCAGCACGUCAUGGUGGGAACUCAUGUGAGACUGCCGGGGUCAACUCGGAGGAAGGUGGGGAUGACGUCAAAUCAUCAUGCCCCUUAUGUCUUGGGCUUCACGCAUGCUACAAUGGCCGGUACAAAGGGCUGCGAUGUCGUAAGGCGGAGCGAAUCCCAAAAAGCCGGUCUCAGUUCGGAUUGAGGU